rnacentral:piRNA from 1 species
CUGUUUUGAUUUGGAAACUACUC